UACAGAGGUCCCGAGCGUUGUUCGGAUUCACUGGGCGUAAAGGGUGCGUAGGCGGUUCUGCAAGUCUGAUGUGAAAUCUCCGGGCCCAACCCGGAAAUGGCAUUAGAAACUGCAGGGCUAGAGGCUUGGAGGGGGAACUGGAAUGCUCGGUGUAGCAGUGAAAUGCGUAGAGAUCGAGCGGAACACCAGUGGCGAAGGCGAGUUCCUGGACAAGACCUGACGCUGAGGCACGAAAGCCAGGGGAGCAAACAGG
rnacentral:rRNA from 1 species